AGUAUCAUUCCAGUAUGGCUUUCACAUGUCACUGCGGUGUGGAACUUACAGGAGUUAUACCCCUGUUUCAGCACCUGAGGCGGUGCGUCAAGCGCCGCCUCUUUCUUAUAAUAUAUUGUGACAAAUGGUAAGUGUGCAGUGCUCCUAGUAUGGCUUUCACAUGUCACUGCGGUGUGGAACUUACAGGAGUUAUACCCCUGUUUCAGCACCUGAGGCGGUGCGUCAAGCGCCGCCUCUUUCUUAUAAUAUAUUGUGACAAAUGUGGAGAAAGGCUGGUGGGAGGCCAGGCCGUGGCCGCACACCUGGCGGGUGCGGCCCAUCGAACCCGUUACUGGGAGGGCCGGCAAGUCGGGCUGCUGUUGCAGUCCGACUACCGGGACGCCAUGGAGCGUAUCCGGACCCUAUGAUGAUGAUGUAUGUAUGAAGGUCUGGAGCUAGCUGCCGUCUUCGGGAUGUGCCAUUUGUUUUCAAAAUUAUUUACUCAUCCAAGUCCAUUUAAAUAAAAGUGCAUUAUAGUAAACAGUAUUGUGUUUUGUUACAGUGAAUAUGUGGGGAAUGGUGGAUAUGCC